rnacentral:rRNA from 1 species
UAGGGAAUCUUCGGCAAUGGGGGGAACCCUGACCGAGCAACGCCGCGUGAGUGAAGAAGGUUUUCGGAUCGUAAAGCUCUGUUGUUAAGGAAGAACGAGUGUGAGAAUGGAAAGUCCAUACUGUGACGGUACUUAACCAGAAAGGGACGGCUAACUACGUGCCAGCAGCCGCGGUAAUACGUAGGUCCCGAGAGUUGUCCGGAUUUAUUGGGCGUAAAGCGAGCGCAGGCGGUUAGAUAAGUCUGAAGUUAAAGGCAGUGGCUCAACCAUUGUAGGCUUUGGAAACUGUUUAACUUGAGUGCAGAAGGGGAGAGUGGAAUUCCAUGUGUAGCGGUGAAAUGCGUAGAUAUAUGGAGGAACACCGGUGGCGAAAGCGGCUCUCUGGUCUGUAACUGACGCUGAGGCUCGAAAGCGUGGGGAGCGAACAGG